rnacentral:rRNA from 1 species
GAUGAACGCUGGCGGCGUGCUUAACACAUGCAAGUCGAACGAGAAAUGUAGACGGAAACCUUCGGGCGGACGCCUUCAUUUCGAGUGGCGGACGGGUGAGUAACGCGUGGGUAACCUGCCUCAUACAGGGGGAUAACAGUUGGAAACGACUGUUAAUACCGCAUAAGACCACAGCAUCGCAUGAUGCGGGGGUAAAAACUCCGGUGGUAUGAGAUGGACCCGCGUUCGAUUAGCCAGUUGGCUGGGUAACGGCCCACCAAAGCGACGAUCGAUAGCCGAUCUGAGAGGAUGACCGGACACAUUGGGACUGAGACACGGCCCAAACUCCUACGGGAGGCAGCAGUGGGGAAUAUUGCACAAUGGGGGAAACCCUGAUGCAGCGACGCCGCGUGAGUGAAGAAGUACUUCGGUAUGUAAAGCUCUAUCAGCAGGGAAGAAAAUGACGGUACCUGAGUAAGAAGCCCCGGCUAACUACGUG